rnacentral:rRNA from 1 species
AACGAACGCUGGCGGCAUGCCUAACACAUGCAAGUCGAACGAGACCUUCGGGUCUAGUGGCGCACGGGUGCGUAACGCGUGGGAACCUGCCUUUAGGUUCGGAAUAACUCAGAGAAAUUUGAGCUAAUACCGGAUAAUGUCUUCGGACCAAAGAUUUAUCGCCUUUAGAUGGGCCCGCGUAGGAUUAGCUAGUUGGUGGGGUAAAGGCCUACCAGGGCGACGAUCCUUAGCUGGUCUGAGAGGAUGAUCAGCCACACUGGGACUGAGACACGGCCCAGACUCCUACGGGAGGCAGCAGUGGGGAAUAUUGGACAAUGGGCGAAAGCCUGAUCCAGCAAUGUCGCGUGAGUGAUGAAGGCCUUAGGGUUGUAAAGCUCUUUUACCAGGGAUGAUAAUGACAGUACCUGGAGAAUAAGCUCCGGCUAACUCCGUGCCAGCCGCCGCCGUAACAC